CUCGAGACGGCGGGGUAGAGGCCCGCCGCGGUAACGACGGGUAACGGGGAAUCAGGGUUCGAUUCCGGAGAGGGAGCCCCGAGAAACGGCUACCACUUCCAAGGAAGGCAGCAGGCGCGCAACUUACCCUAAUCUCGAUUCGAGGAGGUAGUGACAAGAAAUACCGAUGCGGGGACCCCUACGGGGUGCCGCGUUCGGAAUGAGUACGAUUCGAACCACCUAACGAGGAACGAUCGAGGGCAAGUCUGGUGCCAGCAGCCGCGGUAAUUCCAGCUCCAAUAGCGUACGUUAAAGUUGCUGCAGUUAAAAAGCUCGUAGUUGAACGUUCGGGUUCCGCGGGACGGGGCCGCCCCGCGAGGGACGGCGCCGCCCCGGGGCUCGUGAUAUCUUAUCUCGCCGCCCGUCGCGAGGCGGACGGAGGGAUGGAUGAGGUUACCUGGAAAAAAUCGGGGGC
rnacentral:rRNA from 1 species